rnacentral:sRNA from 1 species
UUAACUUUCUAACAAAAAUAUCAAGUCGCAGUGUACCACGUGUCAGUCUCUGGUAGGGGCAGAAAAUACACUUCGAUUUCUCCUUUUUCUAAUUAAACCAAAUAUAAC